rnacentral:rRNA from 1 species
AGGUUAAGUUACAAAGGGCGCACGGUGGAUGCCUUGGCACUAGGAGCCGAUGAAGGACGGAACUAAUACCGAUAUGCUUCGGGGAGCUAUAAGUAAGCUUUGAUCCGGAGAUUUCCGAAUGGGGGAACCCAGUACACAGCAGUGUAUUGCCUGCAAGUGAAUUCAUAGCUUGUUGGCGGCAGACGCGGGGAACUGAAACAUCUCAGUACCCGCAGGAAGAGAAAGAAAACUCGAUUCCCAUAGUAGCGGCGAGCGAAGUGGGAAGAGCCCAAACCGAGAAGCUUGCUUCUCGGGGUUGUAGGACUGGACAUUGGAGUUACCAAAGUCCGACGUAGUCGAAGUCAGCUGGAAAGCUGCGCCAUAGAAGGUGAAAGCCCUGUAAGCGAAACGGCGGACCCUCCGUCCAGGAUCCUGAGUACGGCGGAACACGUGAAAUUCCGUCGGAAUCCGGGAGGACCAUCUCCCAAGGCUAAAUACUCCCUAGUGACCGAUAGUGAACCAGUACCGUGAGGGAAAGGUGAAAAGCACCCCGGAAGGGGAGUGAAACAGUUCCUGAAACCGUGUGCCUACAAUUAGUCAAAGCCCGUUAAGGGUAAUGGCGUGCCUUUUGUAGAAUGAACCGGCGAGUUACGUUUGCCUGCGAGGUUAAGAUGAAAAGUCGGAGCCGGAGCGAAAGCGAGUCUGAACAGGGCGAGUGAGUAGGCAGAUGUAGACCCGAAACCAAGUGACCUACCCAUGACCAGGUUGAAGGUGUGGUGAAACACACUGGAGGACCGAACCCAUGUAUGUUGAAAAAUGCUGGGAUGAGUUGUGGGUAGCGGUGAAAUUCCAAACGAACUUGGAGAUAGCUGGUUCUCUCCGAAAUAGCUUUAGGGUUAGCCUCGGAGGAUGGAUCAUGGAGGUAGAGCACUGUUUGAACUAGGGGCCCAUCAAGGGUUACUGAAUUCAGAUAAACUCCGAAUACCAUCGAUCUUACUCCGGGAGUCAGACAGUGAGCGAUAAGGUCCAUUGUCGAAAGGGGAACAGCCCAGAUCACCAGUUAAGGUCCCUAAAUUUAUGCUAAGUGGAAAAGGAUGUGGCGUUGCACAGACAACUAGGAUGUUGGCUCAGAAGCAGCCACCAUUUAAAGAGUGCGUAAUAGCUCACUAGUCGAGUGGCACUGCGCCGAAAAUAUACCGGGGCUAAGCAUAAUACCGAAACUGUGGGUGCACCCGCAAGGGUGCGCGGUAGGAGAGCGUUCUAAGGGCGUUGAAGGUCGAUCGUGAGGACGGCUGGAGCGCUUAGAAGUGAGAAUGCCGGCAUGAGUAGCGAAAGAUCAGUGAGAAUCUGAUCCACCGUAUGACUAAGGUUUCCUGGGGAAGGCUCGUCCUCCCAGGGUUAGUCGGGAUCUAAGGCGAGGCCGAAAGGCGUAGUCGAUGACAAGCAGGUUGAGAUUCCUGCACUAGUUUAUUUUGUUUAAGCGAUGGAGGGACGCAGGAGGCUAAGGAAAGCGCACGGCUGGAAAAGUGCGUCCAAGCCGCAAGUCUGGUGGCGAGUGAAAUGCUUGCGACCAUAAGGACAAGCGGUGAUGGGGAGCGAAAUUAAAGUAGCGAAGUUCCUGAUGUCACACUGCCAAGAAAAGCUUCUAGUGAGAAAUAAACUACCCGUACCGCAAACCGACACAGGUAGUCGAGGAGAGUAUCCUCAGGUGAGCGAGCGAACUCUCGUUAAGGAACUCGGCAAAAUGACCCCGUAACUUCGGAAGAAGGGGUGCUGGCCGUCAGGUCAGCCGCAGUGAAUAGGCCCAAACAACUGUUUAUCAAAAACACAGGUCUCUGCUAAAUCGUAAGAUGAUGUAUAGGGCUGACGCCUGCCCGGUGCUGGAAGGUUAAGAGGAUGAGUUAGCGCAAGCGAAGCCCAGAAUUGAAGCCCCAGUAAACGGCGGCCGUAACUAUAACGGUCCUAAGGUAGCGAAAUUCCUUGUCGGGUAAGUUCCGACCCGCACGAAAGGCGUAAUGAUUUGGGCACUGUCUCAACGAGAGACUCGGUGAAAUUAUAGUACCCGUGAAGAUGCGGGUUACCCGCGACAGGACGGAAAGACCCCAUGGAGCUUUACUGUAGCUUGAUAUUGAGUGUUGGUACCGCUUGUACAGGAUAGGUAGGAGCCGUAGAGAUCGGAACGCUAGUUUCGAUGGAGGCGUUGGUGGGAUACUACCCUAGCUGUAUGAACACUCUAACCCGCGCCACUGAACGUGGCGGGAGACAGUGUCAGGUAGGCAGUUUGACUGGGGCGGUCGCCUCCUAAAAUGUAACGGAGGCGCCCAAAGGUUCCCUCAGAAUGGUUGGAAAUCAUUCGCAGAGUGUAAAGGUAGAAGGGAGCUUGACUGCGAGACUGACAAGUCGAGCAGGGACGAAAGUCGGGCUUAGUGAUCCGGUGGUUCCGCAUGGAAGGGCCAUCGCUCAACGGAUAAAAGCUACCCUGGGGAUAACAGGCUUAUCUCCCCCAAGAGUCCACAUCGACGGGGAGGUUUGGCACCUCGAUGUCGGCUCAUCGCAUCCUGGGGCUGUAGUCGGUCCCAAGGGUUGGGCUGUUCGCCCAUUAAAGCGGUACGCGAGCUGGGUUCAGAACGUCGUGAGACAGUUCGGUCCCUAUCCGUCGCGGGCGCAGGAAAUUUGAGAGGAGCUGUCCUUAGUACGAGAGGACCGGGAUGGACGUUCCGCUGGUGUACCAGUUGUGCCGCCAGGCGCAUCGCUGGGUAGCUAUGAACGGAAGGGAUAAACGCUGAAAGCAUCUAAGUGUGAAGCCCCCCUCGAGAUGAGAUUUCCCAUUCCUAUAUGGAGGUAAGACCCCUGAGAGAUGAUCAGGUAGAUAGGCUGGAAGUGGAAGUGCAGCGAUGCA